UGACCUCAAAUCAGGUAGGACUACCCGCUGAACUUAAGCAUAUCAAUAAGCGGAGGAAAAGAAACUAACAAGGAUUCCCCUAGUAACUGCGAGUGAAGCGGGAAAAGCUCAAAUUUAAAAUCUGGCAGUCUUUGGCUGUCCGAGUUGUAAUCUAGAGAAGUGUUAUCCGCGCUGGACCGUGUACAAGUCUCCUGGAAUGGAGCGUCAUAGAGGGUGAGAAUCCCGUCUUUGACACGGACUGCCAGGGCUUUGUGAUGCGCUCUCAAAGAGUCGAGUUGUUUGGGAAUGCAGCUCAAAAUGGGUGGUAAAUUCCAUCUAAAGCUAAAUAUUGGCGAGAGACCGAUAGCGAACAAGUACCGUGAGGGAAAGAUGAAAAGAACUUUGGAAAGAGAGUUAAACAGUACGUGAAAUUGCUGAAAGGGAAACGCUUGAAGUCAGUCGCAUUGUGUGGGAAUCAACCUUGCUUUUGCUGGGCGUAUUUUCCAUAUGAUGGGUCAGCAUCAAUUUCGACCGUUGGAUAAAGUUCAAGGGAAUGUGGCAUCUUCGGAUGUGUUAUAGCCCUUGGUUGUAUACAACGAUUGGGAUUGAGGAACUCAGCACGCCGCAAGGCCGGGUCUCGUACCACGUUCGUGCUAGGAUG
rnacentral:rRNA from 1 species